rnacentral:misc_RNA from 1 species
ACGUCUGAAAUGAAAUCAGCAAAUUUGUCAGAAACUAACUGCAGAAACUUUCCAACGGAUUUGUGAUCUUUAAUGUUUCUGUUCAUAGUAAGAAGACCCAAUAGGCUUUCACUUAUCUGCCAUACAACUAAAUAUGAUGUUGCCAUCCUCUCAUUUUAUAGACUAUUGGCGAUACAAGCAACUUAGAAUUUCUGCUUAAUGAAAUUCUACAUAUAUUGGAGUUGAACUAACCAUUUUCUAUGUUUUGUUUCUUUUAGCUCAGCUGACAACUGAAAUUUCAUAAAUUUGUUGCAUUAUCCAGCUAGAUAGUAACAGAAGUCCACUAAAAUUCCAUGAGGUAAUUAGGCAUGCA